rnacentral:misc_RNA from 1 species
UUUUUUUUUUUUUGUAAAAAAAUCUCCAUUCACUUUUAAAUACAUUUCUAAGAACCCAACUCACAUUAACUCACAUUAAACAGAAGUGAAGCAAAAAUUGUCACGGCAGAAUAAAGAAGCUGGCUAGUUAGGUUAACUGAUUCAGUUUUUGCAGGAGCAACCAGAGAUCCAUCUAUAAACUGAAGCUUAUUCUUCGAAGCCAAGGCCAUUUGCAUUGCUCUAGCCCAAGAAUGGUAGUUUGAUCCAGUAAGAACUGGGGAAACUAACACCAGCACCGGAUUCACGUUAGGAUGCCAAAAAUACAGAUCACAAGGAUUUUGUAAGUGAUCAUUGCUUUGAUUCAUAGUUAUGACAGAUGAAAUUUUCCAGGAAACAGCAAGAAAAAGAAGAGAAAAUUAAGAGACACAAGAAAAAAAUAACUGCUCAAAGAAGUGCGCUGACAUCAUGAAACAAAACUGAAUUGAGAAUAGGAAAUCUUCUCAUUGAAUUAAUGAACAGUAGCUAAGCUACUUAUGUACAAAGCUAACAGCUAAAGAGAGGAGAAAAUACAUGUGGAGGAAACAGUAACAAUGAUAACUAUCUAACAGCCUCUAAACUCUUAACUGAAUCAGUUAACUUAACUAGCCAGCUUCUUUAUUCUCCCGUGAUAAUGUGAAAGAUCAGAAGCACCUAAAGAUGCUAGUAAGCAAAAAAGGUUAAAUUACUCCUUGUGCAUCUCUUUUGGCCACACUCUUACCCCCUGCUUGGAAACUAGAAUUUUAUAAGAA